UAUAUGUAUAUGGGUGGAGGCCCAAUGGCCCAAUGGUUGGGGCAGCGAACUCGCGGUCGGAGGAUCGCGGUGUCGAUUCCCAGACCGGUCGUUGUGUGUGUUUAUUGAACGAAAACACCUAAAGCUCCACAAGACUCCGGCAGGGGGUGGUGGCGACCCAUGUUGUA